rnacentral:rRNA from 1 species
GCUAUGACCAUGAUUACGCCAAGCUAUUUAGGUGACACUAUAGAAUACUCAAGCUAUGCAUCCAACGCGUUGGGAGCUCUCCCAUAUGGUCGACCUGCAGGCGGCCGCACUAGUGAUUGUAGUCAUAUGCUUGUCUCAAAGAUUAAGCCAUGCAUGUCUAAGUAUAAGCAAUUAUACCGUGAAACUGCGAAUGGCUCAUUAAAUCAGUUAUCGUUUAUUUGAUAAUACCUUACUACUUGGAUAACCGUGGUAAUUCUAGAGCUAAUACAUGCUGAAAAUCCCGACUUCGGAAGGGAUGUGUUUAUUAGAUAAAAAACCAAUGCCCUUCGGGGCUCUUUGGUGAUUCAUGAUAACUUUACGGAUCGCAUAGCCUUGCGCUGGCGACGGUUCAUUCAAAUUUCUGCCCUAUCAACUUUCGAUGGUAAGGUAUUGGCUUACCAUGGUUUCAACGGGUAACGGGGAAUUAGGGUUCGAUUCCGGAGAGGGAGCCUGAGAAACGGCUACCACAUCCAAGGAAGGCAGCAGGCGCGCAAAUUACCCAAUCCCGACACGGGGAGGUAGUGACAAUAAAUACUGAUACAGGGCUCUUUUGGGUCUUGUAAUUGGAAUGAGUACAAUUUAAACCUCUUAACGAGGAACAAUUGGAGGGCAAGUCUGGUGCCAGCAGCCGCGGUAAUUCCAGCUCCAAUAGCGUAUAUUAAAG